rnacentral:ncRNA from 1 species
CUAGCGACUAUAAAUAAAUAUGGCGUUCUUAAAUGCUAGUCUCUGUUAUCAGAGGCGACAUUGCCAAAUUGUCGGGGACACCCUAAAGAUCUUGAUACCAAGCUGGCAGUCGAAAGACGCCGGUGGCCGAGCUAACAGCCCUGGGUAUGGUAAUAAUUCAAGAUAUGCAACAAUGGGUAAUCCGCAGCCAAGUCCUAAACUACGCAAGUAGCAUGGAUGCAGUUCACAGGCCAAAUGGUGAUGGGUAGAUUACUAAAUCUGCUUAAGAUAUGGUCGGUCCCGCUGUGAGAGCAGAUG